GGCUCAUGCUCACUACCCCAAGUUUUAUGUCAACCUGGUUUUCGGCCAGAAGUAACCAUGGAAGGCUGCUGUCCCAAAACAACUUGUGUACCAAAAAGAGUUUGUGUUAAGGAUGGCAUUGAAUACCAGCCUGGCUCUCCAAUAUAUACUGCUCCAAAUAUCUGCCAUGAGUGCAAAUGUACUUCUAUGGUUAGCAGCUCAACACUACUGUAUGACAUUAAUUGCCAAGCCAUUAUCUGCAAUACCACAUGUG